rnacentral:rRNA from 1 species
GACGAACGCUGGCGGCGUGCUUAACACAUGCAAGUCGAACGGAAAGGCCCUGCUUUUGUGGGGUGCUCGAGUGGCGAACGGGUGAGUAACACGUGAGUAACCUGCCCUUGACUUUGGGAUAACUUCAGGAAACUGGGGCUAAUACCGGAUAGGAGCUCCUGCUGCAUGGUGGGGGUUGGAAAGUUUCGGCGGUUGGGGAUGGACUCGCGGCUUAUCAGCUUGUUGGUGGGGUAGUGGCUUACCAAGGCUUUGACGGGUAGCCGGCCUGAGAGGGUGACCGGCCACAUUGGGACUGAGAUACGGCCCAGACUCCUACGGGAGGCAGCAGUGGGGAAUAUUGCACAAUGGGCGGAAGCCUGAUGCAGCAACGCCGCGUGCGGGAUGACGGCCUUCGGGUUGUAAACCGCUUUCGCCUGUGACGAAGCGUGAGUGACGGGAAUGGGUAAAGAAGCACCGGCGAACUACGU